AGGUUCCUUGGCAGCCUGUAUACUAAAAUUGGAACAUUACAGAGAAGAUUGGCGUGGCCCCUGCACAAGGGUGACAUGCAAAUUUGUGACGUGCUCCAUAUUUAC
ensembl:snRNA U6 U6 spliceosomal RNA